AUUGAAAUAGACUGUUAAGGUUCUUAUUAAAAGUAGCUUUUUCUAGAGUGGCUACUCCUCCUCCCUGGAUAUAAGAUGUUGAAGAAUAAACCUGAAUGAUAGAGGAAACUCAUGUCUAUCGACAGGGCUGAACCUCCACAAAGCAGAUACUACCUCAACAUGGCACACUGAAUAUACAUCAGCAUAAAGUCGGUCAGCCAGGCAAUAAACAUUUAUCAAACACCAUGAGCCAAGUAAGAAAGAGCUUGCCUAAUGGAAAAGGAUCCAGGAUCCUUCAAGGCAUCCUAUACAAUGUGGUGCUUUGAUCCCCUGGAGAGGAAAUGCCUCCAGUUCUUGUAUGGAGGGUGUGUAGGAAAUGAAAACAGAUUUCUCACCAGAAGGGAGUGUUAUCAGAGAUGUGCUCCAAAAUCAGCUGACAACAGCCUGUUCUGGGAUGAGGAUGAAGAAAUUAACAUUGGUCUUAUUGUGGGGAUCAUCGUGGGAUGUGUGUCAAUAAUUGUUUUGCUUGUGACACUGACUGUGGUCUUCUUGAAGAAGAAGAAGAAGAAGAAGAAGAAGAAGAAGAAGAAGAAGAAAAAGUAAGGAAAGUGCCAUUGCACAGAGCUUUGGGGGAUGGGGUGUGACUUGACUGUGGAGAGGAAGAGGGGAGGAAAGCAUUCUAGGUAUGCUCAGUGCUGGAG
rnacentral:lncRNA from 1 species